rnacentral:tRNA from 3 species
GUCUAUAUAGAUUAUAUUUAAAUCAUGAUGCUGUUAACUUCAAGAAAGGGAUGCCCUUAUAGUCG